CGCAUCUGUGCAUGCAGCAUAUCAAUAAGCGGAGGAAAAGUACCUACGCUUAGGAUGUUGACACACGCGCGUGCUCGGCUCUAUACAUGACUCGGUGCAUAUCAAUAAGCGGAGGAAAAGAAACUAACAAGGAUUCCCUUAGUAACGGCGAGUGAAGCGGGAAGAGCUCAAAUUUGAAAUCUUCAAGGUUUUACCUUGACGAAUUGUAGUUUAAAGAAGUGUUUUCUGUUGAAGUUUUGGUAAAAGUUCUUUGGAAUAGGACAUCAUAGAGGGUGAGAAUCCCGUAUUUGACCAUUAUUUUCAGCUGUGUGAUACACUUUCAAAGAGUCGGAUUGUUUGGGAAUGCAGUCCAAAAUGGGUGGUAAAUUUCAUCUAAAGCUAAAUAUUGGCGAGAGACCGAUAGCGAACAAGUACCGUGAGGGAAAGAUGAAAAGAACUUUGAAAAGAGAGUUAAACAGUACGUGAAAUUGUCAAAAGGGAAAGCGUUUGACACCAGUGUUGUUUUCUCGAAAAUCAAUUAAAAAGAGUUAGAUUUUGUUGUGUAUUGACCUUAACAGCUUGCAUUUCAAUUUUCUUGCUCUUUUUAAUGCACUUUUCGUUUAACAAGUCAACAUCAGUUUCUUUUGUUGUAAAAAGGUCAUUGGGAAGGUGGCUUUCUUUUCGGAGAAAGUGUUUAUAGCCUUUGACUCCUGCAAUCGGAGAGACUGAGGUCUGCAGCGUAGAUCCUUCGGGGUUAGAUACAUUUGUGCUAAGUUAUAGCUUUUUAUAGACAACUUGUUGACUAUGAUUAGUCUUGUAGCUUACUCGCUUAUGCUAUUUUACCUACGCUUAGGAUGUUGAUGUGAUACUGCGAGC
rnacentral:rRNA from 1 species